GACGAACGCUGGCGGCGUGCUUAACACAUGCAAGUCGAACGGAAAGGCCCUGCUUUUGUGGGGUGCUCGAGUGGCGAACGGGUGAGUAACACGUGAGUAACCUGCCCUUGACUUUGGGAUAACUUCAGGAAACUGGGGCUAAUACCGGAUAGGAGCUCCUGCUGCAUGGUGGGGGUUGGAAAGUUUCGGCGGUUGGGGAUGGACUCGCGGCUUAUCAGCUUGUUGGUGGGGUAGUGGCUUACCAAGGCUUUGCCGGGUAGCCGGCCUGAGAGGGUGACCGGCCACAUUGGGACGGGGAUACGGCCCAGACUCCUACGGGAGGCAGCGGUGGGGAAUAUUGCACAAUGGGCGGAAGCCUGGUGCAGCAACGCCGCGUGCGGGAUGACGGCCUUCGGGUUGUAAUCCGCUUUCGCCUGUGACGAAGCGUGAGUGACGGUAAUGGGUAAAGAAGCACCGGCUAACUACGUG
rnacentral:rRNA from 1 species